CCUUGACAGUGGAGAGAACGGCCGCUAUUUUGCCUGUUAUUUUUCCAUCGUAACUAAUUGAGGCAAUGGCGGAUAUAUCUAGCUAGCGGAUAUGAAAGCCUAGUCAUGGGGCUCCACUUAGUGACGUGUUAGGCUUACAAUAAGUGAGAAAUGAAGCAGAUAUUGGCGGACAAAUGGGGAAGGCUGCCUCCACCUCAGCUGAUAACAUUAAUAGUAAUUGACGAACACAACACACCACGUGGAGAGAAGCAAGGUGUGGAGUACCUAAGCCUCUCACAGUCCAUGCUAGUAGACUCACCCUGCAUGUGGAGAUCUCCCAAAAUGCACGGAGGUUAUUCCAGAGCUGCAGGACAGAGUACUUGAGGCCAUUGGUGAACAGAAAGCUGAGGUUGAACAAAGGUAGAGUAAAGAUGACACUGACAUUUGGGACAUUGACAUUGUUUGUUACCAGUAUUAUAUUGAUUCCUUUUAUUUCAGCCAAGAAUUGAUAGCUGCCCAAGGUGUAAGCAAGAUUCACAAUGAUGAGGUCAUUGUGACGUGUGCAAUGUGUCCACUGGUCUUGGCCUUCCUGACCAAGGCAGCCACACAAAGGAAAUUCCACGUUAUUGUUGCCGAACGUGCCCCUAAAUAUGAUGUAAGGUGUUUUAUGCGUCUCUUUCACGUCAUCGUGUCUGAUGUGCACAAUACAUAACACAGGGACUGCCACACGUAGGGGUGAUGGCUUCUUGCAGCUUCCUUUAUUUUAUUAUGUUCUUAUGUUCUCAAUACAUCUUUUACUUGUGCAGGGUCACCCAGUGGCAAAAGCUUUAUGUACUGCUGGAAUUGAGACAACAUUAAUUCAAGACUCUGCAGUGUUCCCCAUCAUUUUUUCAUUUGCUUUCCUUGUUGGGCCUGGGCUGACCUCAGGAGACAUCAGUAUUUGUCAGCUUUAUGCACAAACUGUUAUUUAGCACUGUACUUCAUCUCCCAGUAAAACUUCUGAUCCUAAAUGCAUCAAAUGAAAGGCCUUUAUGUUUUACUUAUGAGUGAGAUAAACAACUUACUCAAUUUAUUAUACAGUAAAAUCCCUCUCAUCCGGCAGCUUCAAGUAUCCGGCACAUUUUUCCCCGAGCCUUAAAAUCAAUAAAAAAUCAAUGUGUACUCAGAAAAUCAAUUAAAAUUCCCACGCGAGGCAUACUCCGUCCCCUUGCCACCACAGCGCACUGCUUCGCGCCACCCGCAGCCCACUGCACCGUGUUUACUCAGUGACUCAGUCCCGCGUGUGCACUGUUUAUCGCCUGACGCCUUCAUCACGCCUAAAGUUGUAGAAAAAAGGAAGUGUGUUGUGCUUACACUUAAGCAGCUGAUCAGAUCAGCUGAUCAUUGUUGUGGUAAGAUGCGUGAGUGUAGGGUGGUCGUUGUGGACAUAAUUUCACUUCUAUUCAAGUAUCCGGCACGUCGGCGGUCCCGUUGAUGCCGGAUAAGAGGGAUUUUACUGUACCCUGUUUAUCUUGCACAUCUACUCACUUAGCUUUAAAUAAUGGCUGCUGACCAUUUAAAUCUCUUUUAUUUCAGUCGAGGUACUGCACCAUCCUACGUGUACCGGCAGCUUAGCGAACUGUACCGUCCCACUUCUUGUGUAACAAGAAGGUAACAGCUUUAAUCCUUGCAAAUAAGGAAUAAGAGAAAAGAGACACACCUGCCAUUUGUACUGUUAUGCUGUAGUGUUCUGUCAUUUUUUUCCUCUUUUAUCCUAGAACCAUUUUUGGUCAUUCAUGUUUCUAAAAAUUAUUAUACAAAAAUGUUGAGCUUAAUAUGUUUGGUGUAGUUUUUUGUAACAUGUGUUAUUGUUAAUGUGUGUGGUUCCCCUCAGGAAGAAUGUUGCAGUAUUAGCAGUAAUGUUACAGCCAAUGGAAGUGUCUGUAUUGUGCUUUGGUGGGAGGUUAAUUUGAUGUAUUUUUAGAGUUGUGCAGGAUAUUAUAGCAAGCCCUCAAAAUAAAGAAAAUAACUAUAGAAAACA